ACAUAUAAAGUUCGGUUAUUAUUUAUUAGUGCACUGCAACUGGGCACAUUGUGGAGAAAAUAAGUUACAAUUAAAUGUCCUUUUGUUAGAAUUAGUUUAGAAUUUUUCAACAGGAUCCCAAAUGAAAUUAAAAAUAAGUUAUUUUGAAGAUGUAAUUUUAAAAAAUCCAAGAUUCCCUUUUAGCCUAGUUUAGUUUCAAGGACAAUUUAUUAAAGAGAGUAUAAGUUAAGUCAUACUGAUACACUGCUACACUCUAGCAGAGCCUGUGAAUUGUAGGCUAUUAGCUCUGCAAACACUUCAGAAAACUUGCAAAUUUACAAAUUGCCUAGGCUCUUAAAUCUUUUGACAAACCUUUGACUUCAACUGCUUCGCCUAUGGAGAUCUUAAAAUGCCUAGUCCCAAUUUAAACAUAGCUGCUGCCUCAAUGUAUGUAGCUUCGGAGAGGCUCGCCGUCGGGUUUUCUUGGCUAAUUGUGUCGCUGAAAGCCUACCUUGGGCGAACACGUUGCUCAUUGUUGGAAUGCUUGGUGAUGGUGGAGGAAAGCGAGAUCAUGAACCAGUGAAUAAGGUGAUAAGCAACCCAAUGGAAUCCUCCCUUAAAAAUUGAAUUGAAGAGGGGCCAUCCAGAAGAAAGCAAUGCUGGAUCCACCCUUCAGGGUAGCAACAGCAAACAUUGAUGAAAGGUAAAAGCAACAGCCCGGAAUGGUUUGAGACAAAAAAGACACAUCAUCCAACUUCAUGCUGGUAUGCAACCGAAAGCCAUACUAGUACCCCAGUGGUAAAAAGGCUACUGUAUGCCACACGCACUCCGUCAUCUACGGCAAAGCGCACGAGGGAGAUGCAAUAUGCCAGCUUGAAAUAUCACUAAGGUCACAGUUCAGCCUUGCGAUUUUGUCAUCAACGAUAAAAUGCCAUUCUUGGGAGCCUCUAGAUCCUGACGGUCUCAUAGGAAAUGGAAUUGUUGAGAUGGCUGAAUUCAAACAUUCAAGAAUAGCAAACAUUCAAUAACAAAGUGGCUUUGGACGCAAUCCUAACCCAACGCCCUCAUACUUGGCCAACAACGGAUAACAAGUGUGGCGAAAUUGUUGGAAACAACAAGGAAUUCAGUUAGGGAGUUCCUGGUCAGAGCUGCACAUGCAGUUUCGACUUCAGGCGCUGCCGUUGUCGAUAUUUCAUAUGACGAGGCGGACAUUGAUGCCUCUCUUGAAGCUGACUACGACUAGUGAUGUUUAAUACCCAGAACAAUGGUGUCAUUGAACAAAAAGCUGUUGGCUGUACGAUAGGUGCCAUCCUUACCAGUAGUCUCCACCGAGGACCUCAAGGAUCAUUCAAGGUGGAUACCCCAGAGUGAACACAAGAAGAGUGGAGACCCAGUUUGGCAUCUAGAAAAUCAUGACCGACCUCGGGAAAGACGUAAGGGAUGCCAAAGAGGAAGAGGCUUGGUAGUAGGAGCAAGAAGGCAAGAAAUGAGGACAUGAACUUCUUAGGAACCAGUUGGCAGGGGAAGCUGGGGAAAACCACUACACACCCCAAACCACAGGAAAGAAAAUGAAACAUGUAUAGUUAAGUUAUUUUUUACUUACCUUACAAAUAAAUAAAUGAA